rnacentral:rRNA from 1 species
UACCAGCACCCCGAGUGGUCGGGACGUUUAUUGGGCCUAAAGCAUCCGUAGCCGGUUCUACAAGUCUUCCGUUAAAUCCAGCUGCUUAACAGAUGGGCUGCGGAAGAUACUAUGGAGCUAGGAGGCGGGGGGGGCAAGCGGUACUCGAUGGGUAGGGGUAAAAUCCGUUGAUCCAUUGAAGACCACCAGUGGCGAAGGCGGCUACCUGGACAAAUACUGACGCUGAUGCGCGAAAGCGUGGGGAUCAAACAGG